rnacentral:rRNA from 1 species
UACAGAGGUGCCAAGCGUUGUUCGGAUUUAUUGGGCGUAAAGGGUGCGUAGGCGGUUGUGUAAGUCGGGUGUGAAAUUUCGGAGCCUAACUCCGAAACUGCAUUCGAAACUGCACAGCUCGAGGUCUGGAGAGGUGAUUGGAAUUCUAGGUGUAGCAGUGAAAUGCGUAGAUAUCUAGAGGAACACCAGAGGCGAAAGCGAAUCACUGGACAGAACCUGACGCUGAGGCACGAAAGCUAGGGGAGCAAACAGG